GCUUCACCGACAUCAGCAGGGCGAUCACCGGACACACAAAAUGCAACCUCAGCAAGGCCAAGCAGCCACGCGACAGGCACAUUCCACUGGUAUCAGUAACGAAGGCCAUGGAAAGAACGCAGACGCAGCAUCAGCAAAAUACGACCACCUGUAACAUGUACAUUCUUUCAAGCACCUUGUAUGUCAUUAACACCAAGCAAAGGGUGAGAUAAUCAAGAAGACAAGAACCCCAGCGGAAAUAGGUAGUUACGAUAUUCAUAAAUUGUCACGUAGUAAUGGUACAAUUACAAAAGAAAUAAUCGGUCACGUGACAAUUAGGAAGAAUAUAGAUAGAGAUUCAGUACUCAAUAGAGAGUUGUUGGAGUGCAGUUUAAUUGAGGUCAGAGCUGGUUUUACCAAGUUCAGAAUAUAAUUGAAAGUAGUGUUGAAAGUAGUUAGAGUUCAGUUUUAAUUCAGAGCAGUCAGAAGUCAGUCUUAGUUGGAAACAGUGAGUUUAACUUAAAUAAUAUUGUAAGAGUAUUGCACUUAAGGUUCGGUAUUAACUUGAGAUUCGGUGAUUCAUUUGUUCUUUUGUUCAUUCGCAAGUCGAUCCGUCUGCGACAAAGAAACAAUCUAGUACAUAUUGUAAUUCCGUUUAAUAAAAUUGUUAAUUAAGUUCGAAAAUCCGAAACAUCGAGUAACUAAUCGCGAAACAAAAUUUAAUUGUUAAAACCGAUUCAUCGCCAAACCAUACUCACACCUGAUCGACUCCACAAAUCAAACAAGGUAGGAGAUUCGAAAUUGUACACCCUCUUCCUUUCUUUUUUAACUUUUAAUUGAACAAAGUUGUCUUUAAACGAAAGUAUCCGUCGGCAGCUAUAGUUGACAGAUAGAAGUAUCGAGUAAAUAACUCACAUAAAAUUUCAUUCGAACAUUUUGAAUUCACGACAAUUAUUCUCUGUAUCGACCAAUGAUCACGGUGUUUUUAAUCAUUGGAAACAUCUAUGGUUUUCGUUUUUCUCUUCCCACCGUUAGCAGAUUGCUCAUCCUUGGGCGAGGCCUACGAAGCCACACUGAUUGUCUACAGUGAACUCAGUCACCAAAUAAAAUAAUCAUUUACUCAUUUACGACUUUACUUGUUGCCAAGAACGAAUUAUAAUUCCAUGACGAAAUCAAAAAAAGAAUAGAAAAGAUAAAAGUCACCUCAACAAAAAGCGAGCCGAACGUUGGUACAAACGAUUAAUUGCUGCAGAAAUAAAAAAGGAAGAGAGGAGGCAUCGAGACGAAUUAGAGUCGAAUCGCGAAGGUUCACCACCUAGUUUUUCACCCUCAAAUUCACCAAUUUCCGAACACUGCGAGGCGCAUUCCUUUCGAUCUCGUUUGCCAUCGCCCACAUCACACCAUAGCGUUUGUUAUUAAUCUUAUUGGUACGAAUAAAUAUUAUCCUACCAAACAUUUGUAAAAUUUAUCCAGUUAGAAGCUAGAAUAUUUAUUUAUUGUACAUCGCUGUAUAAUAUAUCUACAUUUGCAUCCGACGUACUUAUUGCUGAUAUUGUAAUACCUUUAAUCAACUAACAACGAAUAAAUUAAAAUAUAGUUAAACCAACAUAACUCUGUCAGACGAAAUAAAUACGUUGCCAAUUGUCUAUCCCUAAUAACUUUAAUCCUCUCCCGUGCCAGUAUUCCUGCGCAUAGCAGGUUAGUCGAAAAGUGGAAUUCAUUUGCCAGUUGCAUCAAACGUAAGUCAACGCUACCCAUUAAACAUCAGUUAGUAGAUAAUAGACACUCACCUAGUUCAAACCCCACGACAGACAGGGUACAAGGUUUGUUUUCCUACAGACAAGAAAGUGCUUACAGAGGCACUUCCAGUCUGGGAAUUCAACAGACACAACAGACAAGGUACAAGAUUUGUUUUCCUACAGCCACGAAGGUGCUUAUAGAGGCACUUCCAGACUGGGAAUCCAAAAGACACGAUAGACAAACAAUACCCAUCAUACACUAACACUCCCAACUUUAAGAAAUAAUAAUAAUAAAAGGAAAUUCUUUGAAAUAGUUCUUAGACUAUUUCUGUUGGCAGCAACUACCAUAUUAAUCGGACAUCUCGAUUAAUAUUUCAUAAACAAUCAUACCAUUUCAAUUUUCCCCUUCCGAUUAAACUUAAGAUAACAUAAAUAAAAAAAAAAAAAAAAUUUUAUCUGGACUUAGUCUAGACUAACACGGAAGGCAUAGCACAAUCAAAUCGAACAUAACAGAACGUAACACAUGCAGAACGUAGUGCACGCGAUUUCUAUCCUAGAAACAAGCCCAGAAGCUCGAAAAAUUUAUUCAUACGUCGAUUUAGUCGAAAACUAUGCGAUAUUUCUCUCGAGUUAGAGAAAUUUCGGCUUUUAAACUCUCAUUUUACUACAUUUUACACGCAGAACGUAGUGCGCGCGAUGGCCAGUGUCGAUGCAAUCGAAUCCAGUUCUUAAAAUUCAAUCAUUCUUCGAUUAGAUCGAUAACUAAGCGAUAUUUCUUCCGCGUGUGAGAUAUUUCGACGUUUAAACGCCCAUUUUACUCCAUUGUACAUGCAGAACGUAGUGCACGCGAUUUCUAUCCCUGAAACAAGCCCAGAAGCUCGAAAAAUUCAUUCAUUCUUCGAUUUGAUCGAAAACUACGCGUUAUUUCUACCGCGUGUGAGAUAUUUCGACGUUAAAACGCCCAUUUUACUCCAUAUUCACGCAUAACCCAGUGCGCGCGAUAGCCAGUGCCGAUGCAAGCGCAUUCAGCACUUAAAAUUCAAUCAUUCUUCGAUUUGAUCGAAAGCUACGCGUUAUUUCUUCCGCGUGUGAAAUAUUUCGACGUUUAAACGCCCAUUUUACUCCAUUCUGCACGCAGAACGUAGUGCGCGCGAUAGCCAGUGACGAUGCAAUCGAAUUCAGCUCUUAAAAUUCAAUCAUUCUUCGAUUAGAUCGAACACUACGCGAUAUUUCUUUCCAGUUUGGGAUAUUUCGACGUUUAAACGCCCAUUUUACUCCAUUGUACAUGCAGAACGUAGUGCACGCGAUUUCUAUCCUUGAAACAAGCACAGAAGCUCGAAAAAUUCAUUCUUACGUCGAUUUGAUCGAAAACUAUGCGAUAUGUCUCUCGAGUUAGAGAAAUUUCGACGUUUAUACUCUCAUUUUUACUACAUUUUGCACGCAGAAGGUAGUGCGCGCGAUAGCCUGUGUCGAUGCAAUCGCAUUCAGCUUGUUACGUUCUGUUAUGUUCGAUUUGAUUGUGCUAUGCCUUCCGUGUUAGUCUAGACUAAAUCCAGAAAAAAUUUUUGUUGUGUUAUCUUGAGUUUAAUCGGAAGGGGAAAAUUGAAAUGGUAUGAUUGUUUAUGAAAUAUUAAUCGAGAUGUCCGAUUAAUAUGGUAGUUGCUGCCAACAGAAAUAGUCUAAGGACUAUUUCAAAGAAUUUCCUUUUAUUAUUAUUAUUUCUUAAAGUUGGGAGUGUUAGUGUAAGAUGGGUAUUGUUUGUCUAUUGUGUCUUUUGGAUUCCCAGUCUGGAAGUGCCUCUAUAAGCACCUUCGUGGCUGUAGGAAAACAAAUCUUGUACCUUGUCUGUUGUGUCUGUUGAAUUCCCAGACUGGAAGUGCCUCUGUAAGCACUUUCUUGUCUGUAGGAAAACAAACCUUGUACCCUGUCUGUCGUGGGGUUUGAACUAGGUGAGUGUCUAUUAUCUACUAACUGAUGUUUAAUGGGUAGCGUUGACUUACGUUUGAUGCAACUGGCAAAUGAAUUGCACUUUUCGACUAACCUGCUAUGCGCAGGAAUACUGGCACGGGAGAGGAAUAAAGUUAUUAGGGAUAGACAAUUGGCAACGUAUUUAUUUCGUCUGACAGAGUUAUGUUGGUUUAACUAUAUUUUAAUUUAUUCGUUGUUAGUUGAUUAAAGGUAUUACAAUAUCAGCAAUAAGUAUCGUCGGAUGCAAAUGUAGAUAUAUUAUACAGCGAUGUACAAUAAAUAAAUAUUCUAGCUUCUAACUGGAUAAAUUUUACAAAUGUUUGGUAGGAUAAUAUUUAUUCGUACCAAUAAGAUUAAUAACAAACGCUAUGGUGUGAUGUGGGCGAUGGCGAACGAGAUCGAAAGGAAUGCACCUCGCAGUGUUCGGAAAUUGGUGAAUUUGAGGGCGAAAAACUAGGUGGUGAACCUUCGCGAUUCGACUCUAAUUCUUCUCGAUGCCUCCUCUCUUCCUUUUUUAUUUCUGCAGCAAUUAAUCGUUUGUACCAACGUUCGGCUCGCUUUUUGUUGAGGUGACUUUUAUCUUUUCUAUUCUUUUUUUGAUUUCGUCAUGGAAUUAUAAUUCGUUCUUGGCAACAAGUAAAGUCCUAAAUGAGUAAAUGAUUAUUUUAUUUGGUGACUGAGUUCACUGUAGACAAUCAGUGUGGCCUCGUAGGCCUCAUCCAAGGAUGAGCAAUCUGCUAACGGUGGGUAGAGGAAAACGAAAACCUUAGAUGUUUUCUGUGACGAAAACACCGUAAUCACUGGUUGAUACAGCGAACAAUUGUAAACAAAAUAGAUCGAAAGCUGAUUGAGUUUAUUCCAAACUAUUCGUUAAAUGUUGAGCAAGAACGUUUAUCUCAAUUUUGUAAUUAUAUUCUCUGUAAACAAUCCGUGUGGCUUCGUAGGCCUCGCCCAAGGAUGAGCAAUCUGCUAACGGUGGGAAGAGGAAAACGAAAACCAUAGAUGUUUCCAAUGAUUAAAAACACCGUGAUCAUUGGUCGAUACAGAGAAUAAUUGUCGUGAAUUCAAAAUGUUCGAAUGAAAUUUUAUGUGAGUUAUUUACUCGAUACUUCUAUCUGUCAACUAUAGCUGCCGACGGAUACUUUCGUUUAAAGACAACUUUGUUCAAUUAAAAGUUAAAAAAGAAAGGAAGAGGGUGUACAAUUUCGAAUCUCCUACCUUGUUUGAUUUGUGGAGUCGAUCAGGUGUGAGUAUGGUUUGGCGAUGAAUCGGUUUUAACAAUUAAAUUUUGUUUCGCGAUUAGUUACUCGAUGUUUCGGAUUUUCGAACUUAAUUAACAAUUUUAUUAAACGGAAUUACAAUAUGUACUAGAUUGUUUCUUUGUCGCAGACGGAUCGACUUGCGAAUGAACAAAAGAACAAAUGAAUCACCGAAUCUCAAGUUAAUACCGAACCUUAAGUGCAAUACUCUUACAAUAUUAUUUAAGUUAAACUCACUGUUUCCAACUAAGACUGACUUCUGACUGCUCUGAAUUAAAACUGAACUCUAACUACUUUCAACACUACUUUCAAUUAAAUUCUGAACUCGGUAAAACCAGCUCUGACCUCAAUUAAAACUGCACUCCAACAACACUCUAUUGAAUACUGAAUCUCUAUUUAUAUUCUUCCUAAUUGUCACGUGACCGAUUAUUUCUCUGUAAUUGUACCAUUACUACGUGACAAUUUAUGAAUAUCGUAACUACCUAUUUCCUAUUUCUUGUUUUCUUGAUUGUCUCUCCCUUUGCUGAAAUUUCGUCUUCUUGAUCAUCUCACGUUUUGCUUGGUGUUAAUGAUAUACAAGGUACUUGAAAGAAUGUAGAUGUUGCAGGUGGUCGUAUUUUGCUGAUGCUGCGUCUGCGAUCUUUCCAUGGCCUUCGUUACCGAUGCCGGUGGAGUGUGCCGGGCGCGUGGCUGCUUGCCCUUGCUGAGGUUGCAUUUUGUAUAUCCGGUGAUCGUCUUGCUGAUGUCGGUGAAUCAUACGAGGUUAUAUUGAAUCAUGGAUACUGACAUUUCUUGAGCUGUAGAGUGUAAGAAAAGAAAAGAAAUAGAGGGAAGCGCAGGCCGUUCGUACCUCCUUUGAAACGUUCCAGGAAACCUGGUCGUCGUGGCGGUGCGAAAGGUCGUAGUCGGGUGCUAAAGAGGUUGAGAGGCUCAACUUCCAUGGAGGGUAGUAAUGGCGUGGUUACAACCCCAUCGCCGAGUUCUGAUGGUCCUUCGGUUAUUGACCUUACUUUCUCCGACGAAGACACCCUUGAGUCACCACCAAGUUCUCCUGUGGUCGAAGUGGUAGAUACAAAUGCCUGUGCCAAGGCUCGUUUUCCGGAGGAGAUUCCUGGAGUGUUUUAUUUCUUAUAUUUGUCAAUAAAAGUAUAAUAUAUA